UACAAAGCGUUUACACAUUUGUUGCCAUUUAUAGUACCAUAUUUGGAGUAUCAGGAAAAAAAAUCAAUUUUUUUUUUUAAUUCACAGCGCACGCUAGGUCGCGCUUAAUGGCGCAAUCUUGUUUAAUCUUGUUUUUGAAUAAGCUUGGUUGUAUAAAGUUAAAUUCGAUUAAAUUCUUCUGUUUCGUUGCCAUUCAAUAGUCUAGAAAACUUAUCUUGGAUACACUUAAUGAGUUCUCUUUUUUCGGUUAAUUUACAGCGUUCAGGUGGAAAUUCAAGUAACUUACCGCGAAACCGAAAAUGUUGUUGCGUGUGAAGAACCACGAGCCGCUAGGCGAGUGGAUCUACAACAAACUUUGACAAUAUUAUGACGCAAAUUUGUGGUAUGAUUCUCGCCUUAUCAAGAUUGCAGCGCUGAAUCAGUGCUGAUAUGUUUGACAAAACUUUCGCUGAUUUCGUCAGCUUUCAAAUUUCAUCCGUCUGUACUCUUAUUGACAAUAAAAAUUAGCCAAUUAGCGGGCGAGAAAUCGCUCAGUAAUUGUAAAAAAAGUAUUCGCGUACAAACUCUUCGUGUUUCCAAAUAUGGUAUUUGGCAAAACUGAAUAUUCCAACACUGUGAGCGCGCGUUACACGUUUCAAUCCCUUAUGUGCUUUUGUCUCUUGCAAAUGACGUUAACUUAUUGCGUUCGACGACAGGAGAAGGCAACCUUAAUCUUGUGUAGCUAAGAAAAAUCGAGAUUUUGUGUGUUCUGCAUUUGCCUCGCUUUCGUUUGGACGCAAAUUUGCCUCGCUUUUGUUAUUGGCGUGAUACCUUACAUGGAUUUCCAUCAUGCCACCAUUGUCGACAGGGUGAGGGAUUACCACAAGAGACUCCUCCUUGAGGCUUGGCUCUAUAGGGGAGACUCAACGUGGUCAAUUUCAUAAUAUGGGCGUUGGUCUGACAAACUUCUAAUUUAUACUUCAUUUGUAAAGUUUUUCUAAACCAGUUGCUGAAGAAGUGUACCCUACUGCACAUAACCAGGAUAGAAGGCGAAAGAACCAAAAAGGCAUUGGCGACAGUUCUCGCAUGAACGCAGAGCAAAGCAAAACACACGGAGAAAAGGAAAGAAAUGCAGGACUACUAGACAAAGUAAAGCAAACCGAACAGCGUCCCCGUACGGAUGAAGAGAGCGUAAAAAAGCACCGUCAGAAAACUGCACGCGGAGAAAAGCAAACCGAACAGCGUCCCCGUACGGAUGAAGAGAGCGUAAAAAAGCACCAUCAGAAAACUGCACGCGGCGAAAAGGUACGUUUAAACACUAAGAUCGUCUUGAGUAUUCAUCAACUUUGACAUCAGAUGGGUCGCGGAAUUGACUAUGCACAUAGUGCAAUGUUCGUUGUAUAGCGCCUGCAUGCUUGUUUAAUCGAGUAUGGCCGUAAAAUUAUUAAAACACACCAUCCGCCCCACGCCC